UCUCUUAGGUCAUAAUGUGUGUUCUGUCUCUUAGGUCAUAAUGUGUGUUCUGUCUCUUAGGUCAUAAUGUGUGUUCUCUGUCUCUUAGGUCAUAAUGUGUGUUCUGUCUCUUAGGUCAUAAUGUGUGUUCUCUGUCUCUUAGGUCAUAAUGUGUGUUCUCUGUCUCUUAGGUCAUAAUGUGUGUUCUCUGUCUCUUAGGUCAUAAUGUGUGUUCUGUCUCUUAGGUCAUAAUGUGUGUUCUCUGUCUCUUAGGUCAUAAUGUGUGUUCUGUCUCUUAGGUCAUAAUGUGUGUUCUCUGUCUCUUAGGUCAU